AUUGCCUCUUAAUUGUCCCCAUAUUUUUCCUUCAGUUGUCUUGUUAAAGCCUGCUUUAAAGGAAGAGGUCAAUAUUCAUCCCUGUGAAGAAUUGAUACUUUGUGGGUAUGAUCCCAGUGAAGAAGGAGGCUGAUCCUUUAAGAAAAAGGAGUUGAGUUUUGGUCUCAGUUUCUUCUCCCAAGAAAUAGAACCAUAUUGGUAUCAUGAAAAAAAAUUGGCAG
rnacentral:lncRNA from 1 species